GAUGAACGCUAGCGAUAGGCCUAACACAUGCAAGUCGAGGGGCAUCACAUGAAGUAGCAAUACGGAUGGUGGCGACCGGCGCACGGGUGAGUAACACGUAUGCAACCUGCCUUCAACAAGGGGAUAACCCGUUGAAAGACGGACUAAUACCCUAUAACACAGGGGUCCCGCAUGGGAAUAUUUGUUAAAGGACAACCGGUUGAAGAUGGGCAUGCGUUCCAUUAGCUAGUUGGCGGGGUAACGGCCCACCAAGGCAACGAUGGAUAGGGGAACUGAGAGGUUUAUCCCCCACACUGGUACUGAGACACGGACCAGACUCCUACGGGAGGCAGCAGUGAGGAAUAUUGGUCAAUGGACGCAAGUCUGAACCAGCCACGUCGCGUGAAGGAUGAAGGCCUUAGGGUUGUAAACCUCUAAAAGAGGGACGAUAAUGACGGUACCAUAGGAGGAAGCCCCGGCUAACUACGUG
rnacentral:rRNA from 1 species